rnacentral:rRNA from 1 species
CCUACGGGUGACAGCAGUGAGGAAUAUUGGUCAAUGGGCGCGAGCCUGAACCAGCCAAGUCGCGUGAGGGAGGACGGCCCUACGGGUUGUAAACCUCUUUUGCCGGGGAGCAACGGGCGCCACGUGUGGCGUCACUGAGAGUACCCGGAGAAAAAGCAUCGGCUAACUCCGUGCCAGCAGCCGCGGUAAUACGGGGGAUGCGAGCGUUAUCCGGAUUUAUUGGGUUUAAGGGGUGCGUAGGUGGAUCGUUAAGUCAGUGGUCAAAUUGAGGGGCUCAACCCCUUCCCGCCAUUGAAACUGGCGUUCUUGAGUGGAAGAGAGGGAGGCGGAAUGCGUGGUGUAGCGGUGAAAUGCGUAGAUAUCACGCAGAACCCCGGUGGCGAAGGCAGCAUGCCGGCUUCCGACUGACGCUGAGGCACGAAAGCGUGGGGAUCGAACAGGAUUAGAUACCCGGGUAGUC